rnacentral:rRNA from 1 species
UACGUAGGGUGCAAGCGUUGUCCGGAAUUAUUGGGCGUAAAGAGCUCGUAGGCGGUCUGUCGCGUCGAAUGUGAAAAUCCGGGGCUCAACUCCGGACCUGCAUUCGAUACGGGCAGACUAGAGUUCGGUAGGGGAGACUGGAAUUCCUGGUGUAGCGGUGAAAUGCGCAGAUAUCAGGAGGAACACCGGUGGCGAAGGCGGGUCUCUGGGACGGUACUGACGCUGAGGAGCGAAAGCGUGGGGAGCGAACAGG